rnacentral:rRNA from 1 species
UACGUAGGGUGCAGGCGUUAAUCGGAAUUACUGGGCGUAAAGCGUGCGCAGGCGGUUUGCUAAGACAGGUGUGAAAUCCCCGGGCUUAACCUGGGAACUGCGCUUGUAACUGGCAAGCUAGAGUGUGGCAGAGGGGGGGUGGAAUUCCACGUGUAGCAGUGAAAUGCGUAGAGAUGUGGAGGAACACCGAUGGCGAAGGCAGGUCGUCUGGGCCACUACUGACGCUGAGAAGCGAAAGCAUGGGGAGC